rnacentral:rRNA from 1 species
GAUGAACGCUGGCGGCGUGCCUAACACAUGCAAGUCGAACGGUAACAGGAAACAGCUUGCUGUUUCGCUGACGAGUGGCGGACGGGUGAGUAAUGUCUGGGAAACUGCCUGAUGGAGGGGGAUAACUACUGGAAACGGUAGCUAAUACCGCAUAACGUCGCAAGACCAAAGAGGGGGACCUUCGGGCCUCUUGCCAUCGGAUGUGCCCAGAUGGGAUUAGCUUGUUGGUGGGGUAACGGCUCACCAAGGCGACGAUCCCUAGCUGGUCUGAGAGGAUGACCAGCCACACUGGAACUGAGACACGGUCCAGACUCCUACGGGAGGCAGCAGUGGGGAAUAUUGCACAAUGGGCGCAAGCCUGAUGCAGCCAUGCCGCGUGUAUGAAGAAGGCCUUCGGGUUGUAAAGUACUUUCAGCGGGGAGGAAGGGAGUAAAGUUAACACCUUUACUCAUUGACGUUACCCGCAGAAGAAGCACCGGCUAACUCCGUGCCAGCCGCCGCAGUAA